AACCCAAGGGCCCUUGAAUUAUGGAGAUUUUUUGUGAAAGAUCUGGAAGAUUCAAACCCAGAUUUACGAUUGAUGCGACUGGUUUUGGUCCCGAUCACCAUGGAUGCUUAAAUCAAGUUAGGGCUUUUACGCUUGGUGCUGGAUCUGUUAUGGGUUUAUUUUUUUGAUUUUCUGAGUUUGGUGUAUGAGAUAAUAGAUGGGUUUGAUCUUACCAUUGAUUUCUGGUUUUGGGUCUGGAUUUGUAAGAGUUGUAUUGAGAAGUCCCAAAUUAAGAUUCCU
rnacentral:lncRNA from 1 species